AGCAGUGUGGCUUAGUGGUAAGGCAUGAGGCUUGUAACCAAAAGGUUGCUUGUUUGAUUCCCCACUGGGG